rnacentral:rRNA from 1 species
UACGAAGGGGGCUAGCGUUGCUCGGAAUCACUGGGCGUAAAGGGUGCGUAGGCGGGUUUUUAAGUCAGAGGUGAAAUCCUGGAGCUCAACUCCAGAACUGCCUUUGAUACUGAGAAUCUUUGUAUGGGAGAGGUGAGUGGAACUGCGAGUGUAGAGGUGAAAUUCGUAGAUAUUCGCAAGAACACCAGUGGCGAAGGCGGCUCACUGGCCCAUAACUGACGCUGAGGCACGAAAGCGUGGGGAGCAAACAGG